GUGUUGUAUGAAAGGAGAGACGUUUAGCACUCCCCUAGACAAGGAUGGACACACAUAUGUAAUGGUAGGCACUGUCGUCAUAUGGCGACACUACCAAACAUUUUUU
rfam:Solenopsis invicta Si_gnG.contig08277, whole genome shotgun sequence.